rnacentral:lncRNA from 1 species
CACAAAUGGAUAAAUCUUGUCUGAGAAAUUGUGAAUCCAUUUCCAACUCGUUUUAGUGAUUUGACAUUCCUUGGAGGUGGAAGUUCUAGCAAAAGCUGCAUCCUUUCAGGGUCGGGUUUUGUCAUAUCAUUCCCGACCACAUAGACCUAGACACUUAUUUCUAAAACUCUUUCAACUAAUUUACUUUCGUGUACUGUUAUAUUUCUUUUCUUAUUACUUCUUUAGUUAAUUAACCUUCAUAUCAUGAUCUUGUUUAUUUUUCGUCCUAUCGUUAUAUUGUCAAGAAAUGCUAAUCCAUGAUGAUUUGCUAGGCUCAAAUACUCUAUUGGACAAUAGCUUUCCCACUUCUGACGUAAUAAAAUCAUCAUCUUCUCUGGAGAAUCACCUUGACUUUGUUGAUAUUGGGACUCAAUCUGAUCCAAUGUCUGGGAAUAAUGAAGGCUCUUCUAACUUUGCCUCCGGAAAAGCUGCAAUAUACGUAGUUCCUUUUUGAUCAAGUCUUGGGAUCAAACAUACAACUAUUCUGUCAUACAGACCACAAGGUAAUGGAUUACUGGAGAGAAGGCAUAUAUAACUAAAGGAAUUAAUUAGAACAAACGAUGGUAAAUGGUACGGAAAUCUUCCAUUCAGCUUGAUACAAAUGGCACGCAAUCAAAUGACCAAUAGUGAGUUUACACCAGAAGAAAUAUUCAAAUUCCCAGCGAAACCAUUGGAGAAUCUUGUAUAGGUUCAACACCAAAUUCAGUUUGAGAAAAAUAUACCUUAUCUUGGAACUUAUCAUCAUAACCAGAGCAAAAUUUCGACUUCGAAGGGAAUACGUAAAUUUGGAGUGUGACCCUCACAAAUUAUUUAUGAGACCUCAAGCCGUGUUGUCAACUGUAAUAACAAUUUUUCCAUUUA